AGAUGUCUCUGUGUUCACUGUUGUGCUGUGAGAACAGAGGAAAAGCAAAUGUUGGUUUUUCUCUACAUCAGAGGACACAAAUGUUCAGACCAUAGUGGCUGUGGCAGGAAUUUGCCGCUCUAUUUCAGCCAACGCCUGAAGACCGGUCCAGGCUCUUUAUUUCCUGUGGCAUUUGCUGAAAUCGGCUCACAACUGGGAAUGUGUGUGUCUCCCACAGCCCAGCAGUGGCUUCUCCAGGAUCCCAGAGACAUUCCUUUGAAAGCAGGAGGGAGCAGGCCUCAGUCUCUGCAGGAAGGUAGAAUCCUGACUUUGGGCCUGGCUGGCUGGCAAACGCAGAUGGCCUCAUCCGAUUGGCCCGGAGCCCCCGCUCGCCCCCUCUCCUUCCCUUUGCGACGCCCGCCACCUCUGCGCAAAUUAGAACGGGGCUGCUCUUUCCUGACGGCUGCCGGCUCGGAAUGGAAAUCUGUUUUCACCGCUUUAAUGUCCCGCUUUAUCUUCGCGUUAACUGAAAAAUCACAGGAUCUAUAAAUUGGAAACGCAGAUUCCAUUUCUCGCCACGGGAGGGCUGGGAGACCCGUGAGGGCGGCCCUCACCCGUGUGCAAGGAACACACACGCACCUGACCAGUGACGGACGCUCACCCUGGGGUGAGGCUUCACACGUGACUGUAUCCAGUUGGGUCUUUCCAGGACGCAAAGGUGCGCGCGCGCAGCCUGUGUGCCCCGGCCAGGACCAGCCCACGGCCACGGUCUCUCAUCAGGAGGAAGCUCCUGAAGUCAGUGUCCUGUGCAGUGAAGGCUGCCGCCGCGGCUGGUGGAGCAGGGGGCGGGCGGCGAUGGUCCAAACGCUGCUUAGUUGGAGGCCGGAGCUUGUUUAGCUGCUGGAGAAAAAGGAUGGUUUACUCUUUAAGUGUAGGGUGCUGACUUCACCCUUAGAUCUGGUUUGUAAUUUGGCACCUCAUUGCCACAAAGACUCCAUCCUGUCUCUGUUUUUUAAAAAUUCUCUAAACCUCACCUGGGACUGUCUCUGUGUUAACACAAAUGCUGUCAGUUGUAAACCUCAGCAGAAAGGGGUAUGAUGAGCUGUGUCCGAUUCCCACCCUAUCAUGGCCAGAAAUUGUUUUGAAGCUUCUGCGGGGUCCCCUGUACCAAGAGGGUGUCUGUGCACUUGGCUGGGGGUGCUUAGGAUUUUAUUUUCGUUUAGUCUCUAAAUCAGGAGACACAGACAGGCCGGCCUAUUUGUAGAUCUGCCAGUUAGCUUGCAGUGGAGGCGGGCCCUGGGUUCAUGCGAAAUGAGGAGGGUGAAACCCCGGCCCGCAAGGCCUAGGGCCCAACCUGCAGUAGCAACAAGGCUAAGUUGCUGCACUUU